rnacentral:misc_RNA from 1 species
GAUGAAGAGCGUAGCGAAAUGCGAUAAGUAAUGCGAAUUGCAGAAUUUCCGUGAGUCAUCGAAUCUUUGAACGCACAUUGCGCCCCUUGGUAUCCCGAGGGGCAUGCCUGUUCGAGCGUCAUUUCACCACUCAAGCCUGGCUUGGUGUUGGGCGACGUCCCCUUUGGGGACGCGCCUCGAAACGCUCGGCGGCGUGGCACCGGCUUUAAGCGUAGCAGAAUCUUUCGCUUUGGAAGUCGGGGCCCCGUCUGCCGGAAGACCUACUCGCAAGGUUGACCUCGGAUCAGGCAGGGAUACCCGCUGAACUUAAGCAUAUCAAUAAGCGGAGGA